UCUACCAUAUAGUAAGGGAUAACAGUUGGAAACGACUGCUAAUACCAUAUACGCCCUUAGGGGGAAAGAUUUAUCGCUAUAUGAUGAGCCCGCGUAAGAUUAGCUAGUUGGUGAGGUAAUGGCUCACCAAGGCUACGAUCUUUAGCUGGUCUGAGAGGAUGAUCAGCCACACUGGAACUGAGACACGGUCCAGACUCCUACGGGAGGCAGCAGUGGGGAAUAUUGGACAAUGGGCGCAAGCCUGAUCCAGCCAUGCCGCGUGAAUGAUGAAGGCCUUAGGGUUGUAAAGUUCUUUCGCUAUCGAGGAUAAUGACUGUAGAUAGAUAAGAAGCCCCGGCUAACUUCGUGCCAGCAGCCGCGGUAAUACGAAGGGGGCUAGCGUUGUUCGGAAUCACUGGGCGUAAAGCGCGCGUAGGCGGCUAUUCAAGUCAGAGGUGAAAUCCCAGAGCUCAACUUUGGAACUGCCUUUGAAACUGUAUAGCUGGAGUGUUGGAGGGGAUAGCGGAAUUCCUAGUGUAGAGGUGAAAUUCGUAGAUACUAGGAGGAACACCGGUGGCGAAGGCGGCUAUCUGGACAACAACUGACGCUGAGGCGCGAAAGCGUGGGUAUCAAACAGGAUUAGAUACCCUGGUAGUCCACGCUGUAAACGAUGAGUGCUAGCUGUCGGGCCCUUAGGGUUCGGUGGCGCUGCUAACGCAUUAAGCACUCCGCCUGGGGAGUACGGUCGCAAGAUUAAAACUCGAAGGAAUUGACGGGGACCCGCACAAGCG
rnacentral:rRNA from 1 species